UCUUGGUCAUUUAGAGGAAGUAAAAGUCGUAACAAGGUUUCCGUAGGUGAACCUGCGGAAGGAUCAUUACCGGGUCACGGGGGGGCGACCCCCCGACUCCCAACCCUUGCCUACCCUCCGCGUUGCUUCGGCGGGAGCUCAGCGCGCCCGCCGGAGGCCGAACCGACUCGAAUCUAGGACGUCCGAGCGAACGCAAACAGUUAAAACUUUCAACAACGGAUCUCUUGGUUCUGGCAUCGAUGAAGAACGCAGCGAAAUGCGAUAAGUAAUGUGAAUUGCAGAAUUCAGUGAAUCAUCGAAUCUUUGAACGCACAUUGCGCCCCCUGGCACUCCGGGGGGCAUGCCUGUCCGAGCGUCAUUUCAACAGUCGAGCCCGGCUCGGUGUUGGGCCGCGUCCUCCCGGACGGGCCUGGAAGCCCCCGGCCGCGAGGCCCCGCUUCAGGCGUAGCAGAGCUCACGCAGCCUCGCCUUGGAAGCCGGGUCCCCGCCGCGCCGCGAAACCCAUCUCAAAGGUGACCUCGGAUCAGGUAGGGAUACCCGCUGAACUUAAGCAUAUCAAUAAGCGGAGGAAAUUGUACA
rnacentral:rRNA from 1 species